rnacentral:lncRNA from 1 species
UCCUAUCACUUCUGUUUUUUCUUUAUUAUUAUAAUUAUUAUUAUUAUUAUUUUGUCGAUUAGGUCAGAUUCCGUAGAAUGUGUACAUGUAAUCAUUGUGACAUAAAAUUCAUUCACUUGAUGAUAACAGCCAUAUUGCAAGCGAAUCACUGCAAGUUUUUAAUGAGUUCAUAAUAGCAAUUCUAUUCAACAUUAUCUUUUACCACUCUGCAAUUAACGUAUUAAUACAAUACACAGAAUGGCAACUAGAGAUAAUCUCGCGUUAAAGCGCCUCAGGUCAAAAAUACCCCGCCGCGAUCACAGCGUUACUGUUAUUUGUGUCACUUUUAAGCGGAUAAUUAGUGAGAGAGGAGCUUAGGGAUUUAUGCAGGUCAUCUAAACGCAAAAACCGGUCAUGCGGAUAGACAUCAAAAUGUUGAAUUGAACUGGUAUUUGAGACUUAAAUCUUCAGAAUAUUAUUUCAUAAAACUGGUUGAUAAAUCGAAGUGGAAGUCUUUAGGAAUGGCGAGUAAACAGUUGUGUCUCUUUGGAGAAACGAU